CCUACGGGUGGCAGCAGUGGGGAAUAUUGCACAAUGGGCGCAAGCCUGAUGCAGCCAUGCCGCGUGUGUGAAUAAGGCCUUCGGGUUGUAAAGCACUUUCAGCGGGGAGGAAGGCGGUGAGGUUAAUAACCUCAUCGAUUGACAUUACCCGCAGAAGAAGCACCGGCUAACUCCGUGCCAGCAGCCGCGGUAAUACGGAGGGUGCAAGCGUUAAUCGGAAUUACUGGGCGUAAAGCGCACGCAGGCGGUCUGUCAAGUCGGAUGUGAAAUCCCCGGGCUCAACCUGGGAACUGCAUUCGAAACUGGCAGGCUAGAGUCUUGUAGAGGGGGGUAGAAUUCCAGGUGUAGCGGUGAAAUGCGUAGAGAUCUGGAGGAAUACCGGUGGCGAAGGCGGCCCCCUGGACAAAGACUGACGCUCAGGUGCGAAAGCGUGGGGAGCAAACAGGAUUAGAUACCCGUGUAGUC
rnacentral:rRNA from 1 species